CUGGUUUUGACUAUUGGAAAUGUUCUGGUAUUGAGUGACAUCGCAUGCAACGUCUCAACCAACACCAUUGAUAUCAAAGCCUAAAAACAUCUGACGAACAAGCUCCUUUUUGAUUUUCCUCCCUCCUCCCCAUGUUCCUCAGCCCUCGCGCCCCCUCCCACCCCCACCCCGCCGCGCUCAUCCGCCGCGGCGUCGCUCCGCCUUUGUUUCGCCGUGCUACAGGGCGCACGGCGCUCGCGCAAUGAAAGAAAGAAUGAAUCCCCAGAUGGCGACCCAACGAGGGGUGCGCUCACCUCCUAAUGAUACGAAACCAGAUUCGGCGGCUCUAAUCCCAGCCGGCUGAUUGGCCCGCGGGCGGCGGCGCCUCACAUGUGCAAGGAGCCUCCCGAGGCGGAAUUCAAGAUGGCGCCGGCGAGGGCUGGUGGCGCUGCGCUCGUGGCCCUGGCCCCACCUGAUGGCGGGCCUGUGUGCAGUGGAGCUUGUAAUUACAGGAGGAGGUGGUAGUAAUGGAGAGUGGAGCGUGGGCGAACGUGCAGGCAGACAGCUGGGCCUCACUGUCUCACUGCUCCGACACAGGGGACGCGAGUGAUGCUCGGACACCGUGGAACAGAUUAUCGCCGGCGUGAGAAAGACCAAAAGGAUGAUGACAGUGAUAAUGAAGACUGAUGCAUUUUGGGAAGCGGCCCAAUCUGCGGAGCCUUUCGGAAAGUUCUAUAUUCACUGUGCUGCAGCGGAGGAGGGACUGUUGUCAGCACCAGCGACGUGUCCCACAGAGAGCCACACAGUGUCUGGCUCUUCAUUGGUGAGUCAACGUAUGACAGAACUUCACUAACGCAGCAAAAACGGGACCGCGUGAUUCACCACCGAGCGGAGAGGGUUGGAGGUGGACGCGCGGCGACGAGGAAGACGACGCUGGAGGAGGAAGACUAGAAAGGCAGAGGGAUUAGGCGUCAGAUGGAAGUCUGGAGGACGAGAUGUUCCCGUGGCUUUGAUGCCGCCGUGCACCUCCACUUCCUGUGACCUGGCAGACAAACGCUCCCGUCCUCGCUUCACUGCGCCGACAAUGAACCUUUGGCUCCGAUUGCAUAACUAAACCCAUUUUCAAGUAGGUCGAAAAUGAUUCAGAAUCAAAAUUUACAUGGCGACAAAAAGUCUUUUAGGACAUUUUACUUUCUCGUGUGUCUUUCUUUCUUUUCAAAGUCACCUUGUUGCAGUUGCUUUUCUUCCACCUCCUUCGUGCUUCCUGCUCUACAGGAAAAAGUCAGACUGGGAACAGUUCAUAUAUUACCUCACAAAUGACAAAUUGUUCUUCAGAGCUUGUUUUAAAUGUGAGGAUGUACUGAUUCUUCAGCUGACACCGCUGUGGGAGGCGCUCCCUCUUCAGGCUAUAUAUUUCCUCCCUUGCUUUAACAUCCACACCAUCGCUGAUCAUGCAGUGGCACUGUGGGUGGACAGAAGCUCUUUUUUUCCAGCUGGUUGGACUCUAUUCAACGUUUCCCCCCUAAAAGGCAGGAUUAGUACUGUAACACUAAAAAAAGGCCAUGUCUUGAAAAGUUUCUCAUGCAAUAACAGCUUUCACCUGUUCAUCCUAGUUGUGGCUGUCAUAGUUAAAAUAAGUCAGACAUAAAUAGUUUCUGCAUUCAGAGAGAUAAUGUAACGAAAAACAGGAGAGAACGACAGUAACGUCAGCGACAUAGACAGGAGUCAUUAUGUACAGUAGCAGCAUCAAGUAAACCCAUCAAACUAAACCUCCACUGACUUCAAUGAACGUCCUCCCAACAAAUGUCAUCACAACAAAACCUGAAGUUUAAAUGAAUAUUUGCCCAAACACAACAAGAACAGAUCCGAUCCAAACCCGUGACCCCUGGAGCCGCCUCAUUUAUUUUUUCUGUCCACGUUGACCUUUCUGAGCGGCAGCGCCUGACGGGAGGCGUCUCUGCCUGUUGUAGGUCCCGGUGCCUGUGUGUUCCACACCUUCUGUGCUUUGGAGCAUUUACAGCAGGUGACAGCUUAGACACACUGAUGUUACAGGCUGUUAAAAUGGAUCUGAACCCGAGUUUGUGUCACGGGUUUUAUUGAACAGCAUCAUCAACACUUGGAGCCAAUGGACACUUAACGGCUCCUUUAUGUUCCUGUGGGUGUUGGAAUGUCAGAGGCACCUUUGCAAGACUGAUGGAGCAGUAAAUUCAGAAUCCAUCACAUAAAUACUAGAAAUAGAAAAACAGCCACAACCUGAAGCAUUGUGCUUAAAUCCUUCAGUACACACUGUUAUGACGUCAAAAUAUAAAAAGUUAGAGGUAUUGGUGAAAUAGCAACAACCAAUCACAUCUCCUGCUUUUUUGCAUGCUUUGUACCAGUCACAGUUUCUGCGAGGCCCCGUAGCUGCUUGAGCACAGGAACGCUGCCUCCUCUGCUGCCAUUGAUCAGUUCCCGGUGACGAGCGCGCAGAUGCUGCUUAAGCACCGAGAUGAUGGCGCUAACGCACGUGUGAAGCCAUCGACUGCUUCGGGCGGCGUGUGAAACAAAAGAGAAGGAAACAAACCGUAGGAGUGUGAGAGACGCAUCCAGCAACACACCCAGCUGUGCUAAACGUCUAUUAGCCCUCACAACAUUCACGUUAGCGGUCGAUGCUCCCGCAAAGCAGAGCGUGGUCCAGUCCUUCAAUAGCGACGCUCGAGCUCAACGGAAACUAGUCUCACCUUUAACGACAGCAAAUACAGGAGAAAAGGAGCUGCCGUCCAAUAAUACACCUAAACAUUUACAUUUGAGGUUUUGAGUAGUGGAUGUUUAAAGGUGUACGUUACACAGCUGUGCAGUGCGUGUGCAUGCUGUGUGCAUGUGUAAAUGCCUUGGAAAUGACACCUGCACUGCAGAAGGAGAGUUUUUUUUCAAGGUCAGGGAGAAAUCAACAGAAAUUACACAGCUGCCAAAACCUAUUACUGCAGAACCGCGCAACACAGGGCCUGCCCAAUGGGCACGGACCACUCACCGAGUCCACUAAGCAAACGCGCAUAAUUUGGGGCACAUACACGUGCGUGUGUGUGUGUGUGUGUGUGUGUGUGUGUGUGUGUGUGUGUGUGUGUGUGUGUACACUCAGCAUUACAGCAAGGGGGGAGAGGACACAGCCUAAUGCGAAAAGAAUCGCAAAAAGCACAAUGGAGCACAAAGGCGGGAUCGCUUCCAACACAUUUUAUGCCCAUUCGCGUCCUCUGAUCGAGUCGGAUGAUUGACUUUGUGAUGAUGACUUUACUGAGAGCAGAUAUUAAAGUAUAAAUGCAGGCGUUCCGGCGGCUGCUCAGAUGCUUGUAGCAGCUGAACGUUACGCCCCACAGCCGUCACUUGACCCUUUCACGCUCGUUCAGGCCCUUUAGCGGCACACAGGUAGAAAAUCAAAGCCCAGUAAUGUAUGUCAAACCAUUCAAUUAUAAGAAAAGCAACAAAGCGCAAGGAAAAAUGGUUUGCACUCGCUUGUUAUCCUUCAGUGGUGACGAACUGGACUGGUUCCCAUUGCAGCUACUGUAGAUGCUGCUGCUGCUGCUAAUGACCUGCAGCAUUGUGUUAACAAAGAGAGCCUCCAACUGAACUCCAGCGGCUGCACACUGAAGAGGAGAUGAGAAAACGCUUGUUUCCUCGUGCAUCUCCUCCCGCUCUCCCGCCAUCCCAGACGCGCGGACGAGCGCGAGCUGCGGCGCACGGGGAAGAUGUCGCCGUUCGGGGCAGGGUCCGUCACGCGGGGUAAUAGCUUUUCUGUAACGCCGGUGAAAAUGAACACACGCGGGACCGUGUGUUUGAGGAGCUGGAGGCAGCAGCUGUUCUCAGCUUCACUGAUUUUAAUUCCCGUGGCCACAACUAUUGAAACGCCUCCAGUUUUUGUGAAUGGCGAAGGAAACAAUGUGGAGACAUUGAUUAAAAAAUGUCUGUUUAGCCAGUGAGCUUUGAAAAGGCCCGAUGCUUGUUAGAGGCUAUUCGCUGCAGCGUCAGUGUGAUUUCUAAUAACAGAUAAUGAACUGUUUCUCCAUCUGACCUCUUUUAAUUUCCUGUCCAACCCCUCGUUUCGCUUCCUAACCAGGUACGGAAGCCAUUUUCUCUGCGCCGCCGCCUUUCAUUACGCAACAAAUUGCUCCCAUUGCCGUCCCUCCCCGCUCCAUCUUCCUCCCUCUCCUCGCUUUCCCACUGUCCGUCUGUUUCGUGGGUCUCACAUCCGAGGAGGUUGAGGCUCGUGUAACAGACAGAUCCCGCGAGCGCGUUCACGUUCGACGCGUGCCUGCACAAAAGGCCUGAGCUCGGCGCGUGUAAUCCGCCUUUGGGAGGAGGGGAAACCUGCGUUCGUGGAGUACAGUAUGCAGGAAGGAGACGGACCUGGCGCCGCGUCGGGCUCCGUUGAAGCACGAUGACACAGACGUACGAAGCUUUUCGACGCGACGAGCAGAAAACGCAUCAGAGGAACACGCAGAGAACAGACGCACGCGCGCGUUGGAGCCGUUUCUACCUGGUCGUCUUAGUUUGAAAUUUGCUGCCCCCUGCUGAAAAUAAAAGGAUACCUGCAGCUCCGGAACAGCAGGGGACCAGCGGGAACAAGGAAGGAGUCCGAGCACAGAAGCAGCACCGCGACCUCUGGCUGAUUGACUCUGGGCUCUGAUCCUGCGCUGAGCUUAUUAAAAGCUCGCGUGCACAAUGUGGGGUGUUUACGAGCCCCUGUUAUUAUUGCACAUACGGCUGCAGGCUAAUCUUAAUAAGCCUGUUUCGCAUUUUGAAUUUGGCUCUGAUGGAAAAACGGCUCACAAAAACCCUAAAGUGCAUUGCGUUGUAUUUCUUUCUGAUAACCUUAAAAAUAUAAUUUGAAAGUUACCUUUAAGUGGCGCAUUAAGAACAUGCCAGCUCUUACUAAUGUAUGCCUGCUUCCCAACUCGUCUCCAGAUUUAAACAAAUCGUAUGCAAGAAGUCACAGUGGAUUUUUUUCAUUUUAUAGUUGUAUUAACAUUUGUAUUAACAUUUCCUUCCUCACACACUGAUGGCAGGGAGCACACGAACUAGGACGGAGAUCUUAGUUAGUGGAUGAGCCACUGAUUCUGUCAAUACUGGCACUCAUAUAUUAUAGUAACUACUGUAUUUGCCAUGAAGAUUAAACAAAAGUCCUAAUAAAAACUCACAUCUCUGUGGAACUAUUAUGAA